CCUACGGGAGGCAGCAGUGGGGAAUAUUGCACAAUGGGGGAAACCCUGAUGCAGCAACGCCGCGUGAGUGAAGAAGUAUUUCGGUAUGUAAAGCUCUAUCAGCAGGGAAGAAAAUGACGGUACCUGAGUAAGAAGCCCCGGCUAACUACGUGCCAGCGGCCGCGGUAAUACGUAGGGGGCAAGCGUUAACCGGAUUUACUGGGUGUAAAGGGAGCGGCGACGGCGAUGCAAGUCUGAAGUGAAAGCCGGGGGCUAAACCCCGGGACUGCUUUGGAAACUGGAUGGCUGGAGUGCUGGAGAGGCAAGCGGAAUGCCUAGUGUAGCGGUGAAAUGCGUAGAUAUUAGGAAGAACACCAGUGGCGAAGGCAGCUUGCUGGACAGUAACUGACGUUGAGGCUCGAAAGCGUGGGGAGCAAACAGGAUUAGAUACCCCUGUAGUC
rnacentral:rRNA from 1 species